rnacentral:rRNA from 1 species
ACGGGUGAGUAACACGUUGGCAACCUGCCCUCAAGUUUGGGACAACUACCGGAAACGGUAGCUAAUACCGAAUAGUUGUUUUCUUCGCCUGAAGGAAACUGGAAAGACGGAGCAAUCUGUCACUUGGGGAUGGGCCUGCGGCGCAUUAGCUAGUUGGUGGGGUAACGGCUCACCAAGGCGACGAUGCGUAGCCGACCUGAGAGGGUGAUCGGCCACACUGGGACUGAGACACGGCCCAGACUCCUACGGGAGGCAGCAGUAGGGAAUCUUCCGCAAUGGGCGAAAGCCUGACGGAGCAAUGCCGCGUGAGUGAUGAAGGUUUUCGGAUCGUAAAGCUCUGUUGCCAGGGAAGAACGCUUGGGAGAGUAACUGCUCUCAAGGUGACGGUACCUGAGAAGAAAGCCCCGGCUAACUACGUGCCAGCAGCCGCGGUAAUACGUAGGGGGCAAGCGUUGUCCGGAAUUAUUGGGCGUAAAGCGCGCGCAGGCGGUCAUUUAAGUCUGGUGUUUAAUCCCGGGGCUCAACCCCGGAUCGCACUGGAAACUGGGUGACUUGAGUGCAGAAGAGGAGAGUGGAAU